rnacentral:rRNA from 1 species
UACGUAGGGGGCAAGCGUUGUCCGGAAUCAUUGGGCGUAAAGCGCGUGUAGGCGGUUCGGUAAGUCUGCUGUGAAAGUCCAGGGCUCAACCCUGGGAUGCCGGUGGAUACUGUCGGACUAGAGUACGGAAGAGGCGAGUGGAAUUCCCGGUGUAGCGGUGAAAUGCGCAGAUAUCGGGAGGAACACCAAUUGCGAAGGCAGCUCGCUGGGACGUUACUGACGCUGAGACGCGAAAGCGUGGGGAGGCAAACAGG